rnacentral:rRNA from 1 species
GUCGAACGGUGUCUUCGGACAUAGUGGCGCACGGGUGCGUAACACGUAUGCAACCUACCUUACAUUGGGGGAUAGCCUUUCGAAAGGGAGAUUAAUACCGCAUAAGACAGUAGCUGGGCAUCCAGCAGCUGUUAAAGAUUUAUCGAUGUAAGCUGGGCAUGCGUCCAAUUAGCUAGUUGGUGAGGUAACGGCUCACCAAGGCUAUGAUUGGUAGGGGAACUGAGAGGUCAAUCCCCCACACUGGCACUGAGAUACGGGCCAGACUCCUACGGGAGGCAGCAGUAGGGAAUAUUGGGCAAUGGACGCAAGUCUGACCCAGCCAUGCCGCGUGCAGGAUGAAGGCGUUAUGCGUUGUAAACUGCUUUUAUACAGGAAGAAACGACUCUUGCGAGAGGCAUUGACGGUACUGUAUGAAUAAGCACCGGCUAACUCCGUGCCAGCAGCCGCGGUAAUACGGAGGGUGCAAGCGUUGUCCGGAUUUAUUGGGUUUAAAGGGUGCGCAGGUGGUUUAUUAAGUCAGUGGUGAAAGACGGUCGCUCAACGAUUGCAGUGCCAUUGAUACUGGUAGACUUGAGUAAAGUAGAGGUGGGCGGAAUUGAUAGUGUAGCGGUGAAAUGCAUAGAUAUUAUCAAGGACUCCAAUUGCGUAGGCAGCUCACUUGGCUUUUACUGACACUCAUGCACGAAAGUGUGGGUAUCAAACAGGAUUAGAUACCCUGGUAGUCCACACUGUAAACGAUGAUAACUAGGU